rnacentral:rRNA from 1 species
AUUGAACGCUGGCGGCAUGCUUUACACAUGCAAGUCGAACGGCAGCGCGGGCUUCGGCCUGGCGGCGAGUGGCGAACGGGUGAGUAAUACAUCGGAACGUGCCCAGUAGUGGGGGAUAGCUCGGCGAAAGCCGGAUUAAUACCGCAUACGACCUGAGGGUGAAAGCGGGGGAUCUUCGGACCUCGCGCUAUUGGAGCGGCCGAUGGCAGAUUAGCUAGUUGGUGGGGUAAAGGCCUACCAAGGCGACGAUCUGUAGCUGGUCUGAGAGGACGACCAGCCAAACUGGGACUGAGACACGGCCCAGACUCCUACGGGAGGCAGCAGUGGGGAAUUUUGGACAAUGGGCGAAAGCCUGAUCCAGCAAUGCCGCGUGUGUGAUGAAGGCCUUCGGGUUGUAAAGCACUUUUGGCGGGAACGAAAAGGACUGUGCCAAUACCACGGUUCGAUGACGGUACCCGCAGAAUAAGCACCGGCUAACUACGUG